AUUGAACGCUGGCGGCAUGCCUAACACAUGCAAGUCGAGCGGAUGAAGGGUGCUUGCUCCUGGAUUCAGCGGCGGACGGGUGAGUAAUGCCUAGGAAUCUGCCUCCUAGGGGGGUGUAACUUCUGCAGGAGGGCGCUAAUACUACAGGAUACGAGCGGGGGAAGCUGGGGGGGGUUCGGACAGAUCCCUAGGGUGGGGGCCUAGGUCGGAUUUGUUAGUUGGUGGGGUAAGGACCUGCAAAGCCGACGAUCCGUAACUGGUCUGAGUGGAUGAUAAGUCACACUGGAACGGAGACACGGUCCAGGCUCCUACGGGAGGCAGCAGUGGGGAAUAUUGGACAAUGGGGGGAAGCAUGAUCCAGCCAUGCCGCGUGUGUGAAGAAGGUCUUCGGAUUGGAAAGCACUUUAAGUUGGGAGGAAGGGCAGUAAGUUAAUACCUUGCUGUUUUGACGGUAACAACAGAAUAAGCACCGGCUAACUUCGUG
rnacentral:rRNA from 1 species